rnacentral:rRNA from 1 species
GUAGGUGGCAAGCGUUGUCCGGAAUUAUUGGGCGUAAAGCGCACGCAGAUGGUUCUUUAAGUCUGAUGUGAAAGCCCCCGGCUCAACCGGGGAGGGUCAUUGGAAACUGGGGAACUUGAGUGCAGGAGAGGAAAGUGGAAUUCCACGUGUAGCGGUGAAAUGCGUAGAUAUGUGGAGGAACACCAGUGGCGAAGGCGACUUUCUGGCCUGUAACUGACACUGAGGCGCGAAAGCGUGGGGAGCAAACAGGGAUUAGAUACCCUGGUAGUCCACGCCGUAAACGAUGAGUGCUAAGUGUUGGGGGGGUUUCCGCCCCCUCAGUGCUGCAGCUAACGCAUUAAGCACUCCGCCUGGGAGUACGGUCGCAAGACUG